rnacentral:rRNA from 1 species
GGAACGUGGGGAAGUGAAACAUCUCAGUACCCACAGGAAGAGAAAACAACAUGUGAUUCCGUGAGUAGUGGCGAGCGAAAGCGGAAGAGGCUAAACCGCGGGUGUGUGAGAGCUGGCAGGCGUUGCAUCCGUGGGGUCGUGGGGCCCUUCUUCCCAUCACUGUCAUGGUGGGCGAGAGUAAGAAACCGGUGUGUUAGUCGAAGUGGUCUGGAACGGCCUGUCGUAGAGGGUGAGAAUCCCGUAGACGAAAACACGCCGGCUCUCGUGGAGGGUGCCCGAGUAGCAGCGGGCCCGUGAAAUCUGCUGUGAAUCUGUCGGGACCACCCGAUAAGCCUGAAUACUCCCUGGUGACCGAUAGCGGACUAGUACCGUGAGGGAAAG